UUUGUAGAAUGAACCGGCGAGUUACGAUUUGUUGCAAGGUUAAGCGGAAAAAGCGGAGCCGUAGCGAAAGCGAGUCUGAAUAGGGCGCAUAAGUAACAGGUCGUAGACCCGAAACCAGGUGAUCUACCCAUGUCCAGGAUGAAGGUAAGGUAAUACUUACUGGAGGUCCGAACCCACGCACGUUGAAAAGUGCGGGGAUGAGGUGUGGGUAGCGGAGAAAUUCCAAUCGAACUUGGAGAUAGCUGGUUCUCUCCGAAAUAGCUUUAGGGCUAGCCUCGAGGUAAAGAGUCAUGGAGGUAGAGCACUGUUUGGACUAGGGGCCCUUCUCGGGUUACCGAAUUCAGAUAAACUCCGAAUGCCAUGUACUUAUACUCGGGAGUCAGACUGCGAGUGAUAAGAUCCGUAGUCGAAAGGGAAACAGCCCAGACCACCAGUUAAGGUCCCCAAAUAUA
rnacentral:rRNA from 1 species